rnacentral:lncRNA from 1 species
CAUGUACCCACCUGCAAGUUCAUCUAUUCAUGGAGCUCUGUAACAAUCAAUAAGAGAGUAAAGAUGACGCAUCUCAUUAUCAUUUUCCAAACAGAAGAUUUCAUUCUACUUGGACAGGCUUUUGAGCUCUGUUUAUAUUCUAGGGAACAAAGAACUUUAUGAUGUCAUGCCAUACUCCAAGAUCCUUCGUUACCUUGCCACUCCUAACCUUUGAAUUCAGAAAGAGAAUUUUUUCCAGUAUUCUGUGAGAUUGCUGCUUUCACAAAGGGAUGGGAAGACUUGACAUUAAUUUAGAGUGUUCUAACAGCUUUUCUCUGUUACCUCGCGACCCAGAACAUUGCCUGCUUAGUAUUAUUUUGACAAAUUUAGCCUUUAUAAAGUUGGCUAAUCUUGAUUGAUGACUCUAUGACAACAGCAAAUAGACGAUGGUGCUUCUAGGGGCAAGAUGGAUGGAAAGCCAACUAGAUGGAUAAACAUGCAACUAGGAUAUUGUGGCCCUUGUUUAAUAAUAGCAAUAAAAGGAGCUGAUGAGAACAGAAAUGCCA